rnacentral:lncRNA from 1 species
CUAAGUCUUAAUCUCUAGAAAAAUAAAAAGACCAAAAAUAUGCAUGAUGGAAAUGAUGAACAGUUACUCUGUUUGCUUACUUACAAGUACCUAGCUUUUAUAUUAGAAUUCUUCCAGGAAUUACUAAAACUAAAAUUACUAUCUUUGGGAAGCACAAAACUAAAGUCUAGGUAAGAGAAAGGCAUGAUAUAAAGUUGAGCUACUGUUUAUCUUGUUCCUACUACACUA